rnacentral:rRNA from 1 species
GACGAACGCUGGCGGUGUGCUUAACACAUGCAAGUGGUGCGACGAACCAGGCUUCGGCCUGGGGCAAAGCCGCGAACGGGUGAGUAACACGUGGGUAAUCUGCCCCGAUGACCGGGACAACCCGAGGAAACUCGGGCUAAUACCGGAUGUGGUGCCUGGACCUAAGUCCGGUCACUAAAGGUAGCUUCGGCUUCCGCAUUGGGAGGGGCCCGCGGCCCAUUAGCUUGUUGGUGGGGUCAAGGCCUACCAAGGCAACGAUGGGUAGCUGGUCUGAGAGGACGAUCAGCCACACUGGGACUGAGGCACGGCCCAGACUCCUACGGGAGGCAGCAGUGGGGAAUCUUGCGCAAUGCGCGAAAGCGUGACGCAGCAACACCGCGUGAGGGAAGACGGCCUUAGGGUUGUAAACCUCUUUCAGAUGGGACGAAGGUUGUCCGGUGAAUAGCCGAGAUGAUUGACGGUACCGUCAGAAGAAGCUCCGGCUAACUACGUGCCAGCCGCCGCGGUAAUAC